ACGGGCAUAGUUCAAUGGUAGAAUAGCGGUCUCCAAAACCGUUGAUCUAGGUUCGAAUCCUGGUGCCCGUG
rnacentral:tRNA from 1 species